GACGAACGCUGGCGGCGUGCCUCAAACAUGCAAGUCGAGCGGACGGAGACCGAACCGCAAGGGGAGGUUGAAGUUAGCGGCGAACGGGUGAGUAACACGUGGGUAACCUACCCUAAAGUCUGGGACAACGGCCCGAAAGGGCCGCUAAUACCGGAUAAUGUCUUCGGGUCGCAUGGCCUGGGGAAGAAAGCCGAAAGGCGCUUAUGGAUGGGCUCGCGUCCCAUCAGCUAGUUGGUAAGGUAACGGCUUACCAAGGCGACGACGGGUAGCCGGUCUGAGAGGAUGGUCGGCCACACUGGGACUGAGAUACGGCCCAGACUCCUACGGGAGGCAGCAGUUGGGAAUAUUGGGCAAUGGGCGAAAGCCUGACCCAGCGACGCCGCGUGAGGGAAGAAGGCCUUCGGUCGUAACCUCUGUCAUCGGGGACGAAGAAAGUAGACGGUACCCGACGGAGGAAGCCCCUCGCUAACUACGUG
rnacentral:rRNA from 1 species